rnacentral:lncRNA from 1 species
CUAGACCUUCUCUGUCCCCAAAUCUCUGUGGUAAUUAGAAAACAACCGAGAUCUUUUGACAUGACCAGUCAAGAAAAUGGAAACUGAAUGACUAAGUGGAAGAAAAUGUCUUUUAAGAGCUUUGGGAUAGAUGACAUGCUGCAAAGAAGCUGAAAAGAGAAAGAAGGAAUUGAGAACACUAGAAAUCUUCAAUACAUCUGUUCCCAUUUCCUAUCUGAUUGGUUACUGCCUACUGAGAUUCAGUUAAUCAUAUCCCUUGUGAUUCCUUCCCCCUACAACAACCUAAGAGCAAAAAAGGUAUUGUCAGAAUUGACCAGGGGACAGAGAGAAUGGAAUAAAGAAUAAAGUGGGCUGUACUGUCUUAGUGCCCUGGUGAGCACAGCUAACCAGCAUGAAGGAGGAAAUCAUCUGUUUCUGAUAGCAACUACUCCCUGCAGCAUUAUUUGUAUGUCCUUUGCCUUACUUAGGUCAAUUUGUGCUUUGAAAUCUAUUUAUUCUGAGUAUCCUCAUACACAGAUCCAGUGGUUUUAUCACAGUACUUACCUUUCACCUUCAUCGGGGCUUGAUGGAAGAGCAG